UUAGACAAUUUCCCAUAUUGUUCAUAGGCAAAUUUCCUUCUCCGUAGUUAAUGUAAAGUCCAGUUAUAUCAUCUUGACUUUUGACAUUUGUAGUAAUUUUAAAGCGUCACGCCGUCAUCGUCCACGAGAAAACGUCCUCUAUCAGGCAGGCGGCAGCAACCACAGCGACACGUAUUCUCUCUUUUACUCUUCUUCCUUGGGUACUCAAUUGAGACUCUAAAGUCCCUCAAUUUGUAGCAUUAUAACAGCUACAGAUUACAGAUACAAAAAAGCCAACACAAAUGUCGCAGAAUCAAUCCUUGGAGCAGAAUUCUGGGUUCAUGUCCAUCGACAAGUUGGAUCGAAUGGCUAAUUGGGUGGGGACAAGCGUGGCGUCGGCGUUCUUCGCCUCCCUUGAACGCUGCUCCUGCAUCCACCUUAGCACCGCUCACGACGACGGCGAUGAAUAUGAUGACGAGGAUGAGGCCAAGGAUCGCCCUCUUAUGCUCAACAAACCCCUCUCUCACGAUCACUCUUCUUCCAUCACCAUUAAGCUUCCUUCUUCUUGAUUUACUUAUGGUUUUGCUACACCUGAAAAGAUGAAAAAAGAAUAAAUUUUUUUUUUCUGUGCUUUUUUUUGCUUGUAAAUAAUUGUGCGGUCGUGUGGUAAUGUCUGGCAUGGUUUUGUAAAUCGUGAGAAAUUUGAAAACGUAAAGUUUGUUUUUCUAUAUUACGAGCUUGUUGUUCUUUAACUAUUUGUGUUCUCUAGUGGACCUCUUAGUAGGAUUCAAAUUCAGAUGAAGAUCUCACAUCUAUCAGAAAGAAAAGAAUGAAAGGAUCUUCAUGCCCUAAUUCAUGUUGUGGCAAUAGAAUCGACAAUUAACUUGUAGAAAGGACACCAAGUAGCCACUCCAAAGGGCUGCUAUUUAGAAAUUAGCCAGUGCUUCAGUUCAAUUUUUCAGGAUAAAAAUGUCAUGAAUUAUACUGAAGUUAAGAUUUUUAGUUUAAAGUUUUAGGACAAAAUAAAUACUAGCUAAUCUCUAAAUAGCAUCACCGAGAAUGGCUAUCUGUGCACUUGCCCCAAUUAACUUGAGUCUAAUUAUGGUGGAAAAAAAGAGCUGAAUGUGGAAACAGUAGCUGAUUCAUCGUGGUUUUGUAUGUUACUAAUACCAGAUAAUGCAUUUAUUUUGGCCGAAAUGACAAUCAAUUUGAUUUCAUAGUUCUAUAAGUCCUCUGUCAUAGUGAUCUUCUUGUGGUUUUUCAGACUGUUUAUACCUAGAUAUAUUGCAUUCUGUAACAUUAAAAUUAUAUUGACCACGGGGCUUCAAUGAUGUUGAAAAAGUAUCAUACCUCUUAGAUUUAUAAAUUUAAAUGCAGUGUUGCAUGUAUGCUGGGGGUUGGCCAAAGGGUCAACCUGAUAAAAAGAAUGGCAUAAAAUGAAGUAACUCAUUUGUAAGAGAUUGAAUUUUUUAAAUAGAUUUCGUUAACCAGAUUUUUCAUGUUUACUCGGCGAGUGAUGCUGUAAUUUUGGAGGAUCAACGAUGAGCUACUACUGUUCGUAGCUGUGGUUUUUACUUUGUAGAUUAGUCUCCUGUUCAAGGUGGCCUUUGAUUUCUUGCUGCUUUUGAGAUAUUGUUGCAGAAUGUAUUUCCUUGAAUUCUAAGGACGCCCUUCCUCAAUCUCUGUGACUUCAGAACCUCAUAAAAACCUUUACUUCUAUUGCCAACAUAGAUAAUGCGACUUCUCAAUUAUUGGCUGUAGCCAAGGUUAAGAGGAUUGUGCAUAUCAGUAACUUUGUUGGGAAGUCCUGUAGCCGCGCACAAAAUGAAGCUUAGACUUAUUGAUAUUCAGCAUUCUGGAUUUAGUGUCUUGCUGAUUGAUUUGUUCCUCUGUCAACAGACAAUUCAUGUUGCUUCCUUUAUGAAGGUUAUCUCUUAUCUCCUCUGUAGUCCUCCUUAUCUUCUUUGCUCCCAAAAUAUUUUAACUGGUUUCUUUGAUCAGGAAUAUUUUUACUGUUUUCACCCCUGCAUUGGAUAAAUUAAUGAGCAUUCUUGAGAAAUAAGCUGAUUUGAGCAACUACCCUUCAUACUUAAUCAAAUUUUCUAUGGGUUCUUUGAUCAGAACUAGACCCCAGAUAAGCAUGCAUACUACCCAACAGAAUGUGUGAUGCUUAUGCUUUACGGGGAUAAAGUGUGACUGCAACUUUGUCAUCUUUUGGCAUACAUCAAUCUGAUGAUAUUUGAGGAUUGACCUCUUCAACUGUGGCAACUCCACUUUGUGACAACCAACCUUUCAGUUUCUAGCAUGUUCGAUGAGGAUUGCAAUAACCAAGUUGCUCUAUGCAAUUAGGAACCACUUUUUGGAUGAUAAGCUUGUAUCAUGAAUUGGUAGCAUUAUAGAUUCUCUAGAGUCAAUGGAUAAGAAUGGUUGGUUGAUUAGUAAACACUAAUUUUUACUUACAUUUUUGGGUGGUUGAGUGUCAGGGAGUGUUCUCACUUCUCUGCGCUUAUGCAGUUGCUAUCUUGUGGAUUUUCAUUUAGUUUUACUUUUCACAACAGGUAUGGAAGGCUUCCAAGACCAGGAUUAAUGUACCCUGUCAGGCAUAAAAUUUAGAACGAACGAGAAGCUAACCAUAAGGUUUAGAUAACAUGUCUUUUUGGCACUAAGAUGGAUAGGAUCAUAGGAGAUUCACUACUAACAGUGUUACUAGUUGAAAGAAAAGCAAAUUGUGUCUAGUAUGUCAAGUAACUGGACUUUCGUUGAUUGAAUUACAGAGACAGUUUUGUGAAAUCCUUCAAAUGUUAUGACUCUAUUCUAUGAUUCUUUUUGUCUUCAAGAGCCGAGGGUCUUUCGGAAACAACCUCUCUACUCCUUCGGGUAGGGGUAAGGUAUGCGUACACACUACCCUUCCCUCCCCAGACCCCACUACUAGGAUUUUACUGGGGUUGUUGUUGUUGUUAUUGUAGCAGAGAAAACAUUUAUGACUUGCAGAGAGGUAAAAUCAGUUACUAUCUCAUAUGAUUGUUAGAUAAAUGAUUCUUGGCAUUGUCAUCGUUCCUGUACUUGAGAUAAUUAGCUUGAGUUCAUAAGAUAUGUUUGCUUUGGUUUUGCCCGAAACUUUUCUACCCUAAUCUUAAUUUUCCCUUGUUUCCUCUUUGAAUUCAUUCAUUUUGUGAUCAUGUCUACUAAGUACUACCAGAGAUUAUAUUAUUAUAUGCUUUACUAAAAUCGAAGUGCUAUUUGUUAGAGUAAGUGUAGUAAAGGCUUGAGAUGAGAAUGAUCCUGUUCCAGUAUCAUGGAUCACAAUGCAGGUUUAGCAUAGUCCACAUCAAGAACUAGCAACUACAAAGGAGCAACUAGACAGUCUCGCCAGUCUCUUCUGCUGAUAAUAUAUCUCGCAGGGAUUGAAACAUUGCUAAUUAAGAAGUGUAUAAAUACAGCAAGUUGCUGAAACAUGUUGGUUGCUUUUCUGAUGGAGUUUUCAGUACGGGUUAAAACCAGAAACUGGGAUUGUUACCACUGAAUGGAACAACUUUAUGAAAAUGUACUAUCAUGAUAAUGAUAGCACAUACGAUAUACAAGGAAUCGUUACAAUGUUUAUUCAGGCGAAAUUGGAUUAAUAGCUGAACUUACGAGUUCAAAUUCAUAAUAGAAAGCAUGAUAUAUAAGAAAA